rnacentral:tRNA from 1 species
ACAUUGGUGGUUCACUGGUAGAAUUCUCACCUUCCAUGCAGGAGACCCAGGUUCGAUCCUGGCCAAUGCA